ACGCUAGCUACAGGCUUAACACAUGCAAGUCGAGGGGAAACGGCAUUUAGUGCUUGCACUGAAUGGACGUCGACCGGCGCACGGGUGAGUAACGCGUAUCCAACCUUCCCAUUACUGUGGGAUAACCUGCCGAAAGGCAGACUAAUACCGCAUAGUCUUCGAUGACGGCAUCAGAUUUGAAGUAAAGAUUUAUCGGUAAUGGAUGGGGAUGCGUCUGAUUAGCUUGUUGGCGGGGUAACGGCCCACCAAGGCAACGAUCAGUAGGGGUUCUGAGAGGAAGGUCCCCCACAUUGGAACUGAGACACGGUCCAAACUCCUACGGGAGGCAGCAGUGAGGGAUAUUGGUCAAUGGACGAGAGUCUGAACCAGCCAAGUAGCGUGCAGGAUGACGGCCCUAUGGGUUGUAAACUGCUUUUGUAUGGGGAUAAAGUCAAUCACGUGUGAUUGUUUGCAGGUACCAUACGAAUAAGGACCGGCUAAUUCCGUGCCAGCAGCCGCGGUAAUACGGAAGGUCCGGGCGUUAUCCGGAUUUAUUGGGUUUAAAGGGAGCGUAGGCCGGAGAUUAAGUGUGUUGUGAAAUGUAGACGCUCAACGUCUGACUUGCAGCGCAUACUGGUUUCCUUGAGUACGCACAACGUUGGCGGAAUUCGUCGUGUAGCGGUGAAAUGCUUAGAUAUGACGAAGAACUCCGAUUGCGAAGGCAGCUGACGGGAGCGCAACUGACGCUUAAGCUCGAAGGUGCGGGUAUCGAACAGGAUUAGAUACCCUGGUAGUCCGCACAGUAAACGAUGGAUGCCCGCUGUUGGUACCUGGUAUCAGCGGCUAAGCGAAAGCAUUAAGCAUCCCACCUGGGGAGUACGCCGGCAACGGUGAAACUCAAAGGAAUUGACGGGGGCCCGCACAAGCGGAGGAACAUGU
rnacentral:rRNA from 1 species